UACGAGGGGGAGCAAGCGUUGUUCGGAUUUACUGGGCGUAAAGGGCGCGUAGGCGGCGUGACUGAGUCACUUGUGAAAUCUCCGGGCUUAACUCGGAACGGUCAAGUGAUACUGUCGUGCUAGAGUACAGAAGGGGCAACUGGAAUUCUCGGUGUAGCGGUGAAAUGCGUAGAUAUCGAGAGGAACACCUGCGGCGAAGGCGGGUUGCUGGGCUGAUACUGACGCUGAUGCGCGAAAGCCAGGGGAGCGAAUGGG
rnacentral:rRNA from 1 species